rnacentral:rRNA from 1 species
AUUGAACGCUGGCGGCAGGCCUAACACAUGCAAGUCGAACGAGUGGCGGACGGGUGACUAAUGUCUGGGAAACUUCCUGAUGGAGGGGGAUAACUACUGGAAACGGUAGCUAAUACCGCCUACCAUCGGAUGUGCCCAGGUGGGAUUAGCUAGUAGGUGGGGUAACGGCUAACCAAGGCGACGAUCCCUAACUGGUCUGAGAGGAUGACCAGCCACACUGGAACUGAGACACGGUCCAGACUCCGACGGGAGGCAGCAGUGGGGAAUAUUGGACAAUGGGCGCAAGCCUGAUGCAGCCAUGCCGCGUGUAUGAAGAAGGCCUUCGGGUUGUAAAGUACUUUAAGCGGGGAGGCGUUACCCGCAGAAGAAGCACCGGCUAACUCCGUGCCAGCAACCGCGGUAAUUC